rnacentral:tRNA from 1 species
GGGGCCGUAGCUCAGCCGGGAGAGCGCCGCCCUUGCACGGCGGAGGUCAGGGGUUCGAUCCCCCUCGGCUCCACCA